AGAAAGACUUCAGAUUGAUACAAAUCAGUAUCGGUGCUAAUACUGGGUUAUAACGCACGAUGACGAAGUAUGGUUUCGACAGAGCAUUUAAGAUAAAAAUCGGUGUUUGUGAACAAUUAGCCAAUGGAUUGAAAUGUUAAACAAAAUGGCAUUACUCACUGUUCCAAAUGAUCAAGCAUGGGCUAUUGGCUAUGACGAUCGAUGUUUGUAUUACCGUACGGAUACUGAUAUCGUUCGUUCUGAAUUGACGGGGAAACGAUGGAAAUUAAUAGAUGCACCGCUACAAUUAAGUAGAGCAAGUAACAAUGCUAGUUCGUCAUCUAGUAACAGACACAGUACUUGGCACCGCAACAGCAACAUCAUCAGAACUGGAAUUUCUUGAACCUUAUAGUACUGAUGAAGGUACAAUACUAAUUAAGAGAAUAGGAAGAGCAAUCACGUUUGGCAUCUAUGUCUUUAAAAUUGUGAUAACAUAUUAGUGACGGCGUGUCUGCAAAGAAUAUUCAACAAUCGUCUUUUCAAGAUAUCAAAAUGAAGAGAAAAAGCAAAAAGUGGAAACUUGAUAAUUAUCUUGGGAAAAGGAAUGGGC